rnacentral:rRNA from 1 species
UACGUAGGGAGCAAGCGUUGUCCGGAAUCAUUGGGCGUAAAGCGCGGGCAGGUGGCCCUUUAAGUCCUUUGUGAAAUUCCGGAGCUCAACUCCGGAUGUGCAUAGGAUACUGGAAGGCUAGAGACUGGUAGAGGCGAGCGGAAUUCCUGGUGUAGCGGUGGAAUGCGUAGAUAUCGGGAAGAACACCGGUGGCGAAGGCGGCUCGCUGGGCCAGUUCUGACACUCAUCCGCGAAAGCGUGGGGAGCAAACAGG